rfam:Gossypium arboreum cultivar AKA8401 contig_64920_1, whole genome shotgun sequence.
GACAAAGGGGUGGAGCUCCUUGAAGUCCAAUAGAGGGUCUUGCAGGGUAUAUAGAGCUGCUGAGCUAUGGAUCCCUAAAGCUCUAUCCCUUAUAUAUAACUUUUAAAAGAAGGGAUAGACUUUUGGCUUGCAUAUCUCAGGAGCUGCAUUACCAAAAAUGUCAGAUCCUUGUUUGGAUUGAAGGGAGCUCUACACUUAGUCACU